rnacentral:rRNA from 1 species
AUACGAAGGGUGCAAGCGUUAAUCGGAAUUACUGGGCGUAAAGCGCGCGUAGGUGGUUCGUUAAGUUGGAUGUGAAAGCCCCGGGCUCAACCUGGGAACUGCAUCCAAAACUGGCGAGCUAGAGUAUAGCAGAGGGUGGUGGAAUUUCCUGUGUAGCGGUGAAAUGCGUAGAUAUAGGAAGGAACACCAGUGGCGAAGGCGACCACCUGGGCUAAUACUGACACGGAGGUCGGAAAGCGUGGGGAGCAAACAGGAUUAGAUCCCCUUGUAGUCCACGCCGUAAACGAUGUCGACUAGCCGUUGGGAUCCUUGAGAUCUUAGUGGCGCAGCUAACGCAUUAAGUCGACCGCCUGGGGAGUACGGCCGCAAGGUUAAAACUCAAAUGAAUUGACGGGG